rnacentral:rRNA from 1 species
UGGGUAACCUACCCAUCAGAGGGGGAUAACACUUGGAAACAGGUGCUAAUACCGCAUAACAGUUUAUGCCGCAUGGCAUAAGAGUGAAAGGCGCUUUCGGGUGUCGCUGAUGGAUGGACCCGCGGUGCAUUAGCUAGUUGGUGAGGUAACGGCUCACCAAGGCCACGAUGCAUAGCCGACCUGGGAGGGUGAUCGGCCACACUGGGACUGAGACACGGCCCAA